CGACUAGCCACGUCCGUGCUGUUCUCUGGCCCUGCGUUGUUACAUCCGCCGCUCUGCUGCGAAUUGUUGUGGGAAGACGCCAGCGUGUCCCCGUUGCAGUAGUAGUACGUGGAGUCUGCGAGACAAGGGUAGUAAGACGGAGGAUGGGAGAACGACUAUCGUCCAACGAAGGUGAAAUCAUAGGAUUCACGAGCGGCUUGAUUUAGUCGUUAGGAAUGGAUCGAACGUUCCUGCGCCGGAGGAUAAUGACACGAGCGUGUCUGCAUAACGAGAUGGAAAACGGCGGCAGUAAAGUAGCGGCGACAAGCGUUAAGGUAUCGUAAAAGCGAUAAUUCAGCUGGUUUAUCAAGCGCGGCGGAACACGGUCGCGAGCUGUCUUUACGACUGAUCGAUAUUAAUACCUAUUGUUAAAAACGUAACAGCGAUACCGAUCGACGAGCCCGAACACAAAUUGCCGAGACACGCGGGGCGUUCCCGCGUUUGAAUUCGAAUUAAUAUAGCGGUUAUGGUCGACCCGUUGGUUCAAUGGUUUCGCGAACGAACCUUGUUCUUUGUCGACGUCUCUUUCGUUCGUGGUUCACCAGAUUAUCUCGAUGACUUUACGAAUGUCUUUUCGUGCCCCGGUUACGAACCGAUCUCGCGGUUCGAUUACCGGUAACUCGAUUAUAAUCAUCGCCAUGGUGGAUUUCUCAGCUGAAAUAUUUUAUUAUUUUUUAGAACUUUUAAUGGUGGUGAAAUUAUGAGAAAAUUGGAAACGAGAGAGGGUGAAUUGAUCAAUUAUUCCACGGUUGAUAUAAAGGGUGAAAAGUUUUUUCUUUCAUCUAAAUCAAAAACUAAAGAAUCUAUAAAGUAUCCUAAAAAUGUGAUCAGAAAUAAGAAAUCCAAAAAGCCACCCUUAAUUUUCCCCACCUUCUGUCCAAGCCGGUAUUUCUCCGUUGAUCCGCAGCAGGGUAUAAUAACUCGACGUCCGCCCUCUCUGAUCUAUAGCAGUGAAAGCUAGGUGUGGAAUAAGAGGCGUGACAAAUCGUAGAAUCAGGUCGAUCAAUGUAUGAGCUGCGUAAGUUGCGUGGAGUACACCAGUCUCGAAAAUUGCAGUGUCGUUACACGAUUGUACACACCCGUAUCUUGUCCCUCUUCCCCUAGUAAAUCUCGCAUACUAACACGUAACCUGUCAGUGAUUAAUCCUCGUACACACGCCCAUAAUUCGCCCCUGAAUUAGCUCGUAAACGGGCCGGCUGGGCGGAUUAAAUAAGAGCUUUCCGAUACGGCUUCUGGUCUUAUCUGCGCUACGAUUCCGUGUUAUUAGCCCUGACAUAAAUUGAUUUAUUCGCGUCCUCGCACCGACUGGUUUCACGAUUCUAAUUUUUCUUUCCUCCGCGAUUUUCCGUCCGUUUUUUCUCAAUCGUUGCGGUUUCUUUUAUUACAACGACAAGGAAGUCGACGCAAAUUCAAGCUUAUGAUUAUUUUCAAUUUUCUGAUGAUACGAACGUUGGAAUGAUUUAGAUGUUUUUGAGUAAGUUUCAAAAUUUUCAAAUAUCUUGAAAAAUUGAUAGAACGAUGAAAGGAUUCUUAAGUAUCAUCUUCAUCGAAGGUGUCCAUAACAAAUGACAAAGUUACGUAAAUUUGCUUAAUACGAUAGCUGCACCUUCCGUGGCCAUUCUUCAUCUCUCGCAGAA